rnacentral:rRNA from 1 species
UACGGAAGGCAGCAGUGGGGAAUAUUGCACAAUGGGCGAAAGCCUGAUGCAGCUAUGCCGCGUGUAUGAAGAAGGCCUUAGGGUUGUAAAGUACUUUCAUCGGGGAGGAAAAACAAAACUAAUAAUUUUAUUUCUUGACGUUACCCGAAAAAGAAGCACCGGCUAACUCCGUGCCAGCAGCCGCGGUAAUACGGAGGGUGCUAGCGUUAAUCAGAAUUACUGGGCGUAAAGAGCACGUAGGUGGUUUUUUUAAGUCAGAUGUGAAAUCCCUGGGCUUAACCUAGGAACUGCAUUUUGAAACUGAAAUACUAGAGUAUCGUAGAGGGAGGUAGAAUUCUAGGUGUAGCGGUGAAAUGCGUAGAUAUCUGGAGGAAUACCUGUGGCGAAAGCGGCCUCCUAAACGAAUACUGACACUGAGGUGCGAAAGCGUGGGGAGCAAACAGGGAUUAGAUCC